GGGUAUCCCUGGAAGCAUGCCCCUUUGAGUAUCGUUUCAACACAAACUCGUCUGCGUGCUUGCGAAAGUGAGCGCAAUGACGGUGAAUGAGCGUUUGGCCGUCGAAAGAGGGCUAAUCGUUUGAAACAUAUCAUACUCUAGUAUCAAUCGUUGAGCAAGUCUCACCUGGUUGAUGUUUGAUAAUUGACUUCGGUCAUUAUACAUCAUUACAUCGACAACAGGAGAUCGGUAUUCGUGUAUGUAUCAAGGAAUUGUAUUCAACUUCGUUAACUCGAUUUUGAAUCUGACUUUGAUCUCAGAUGGAGUAAGAAAACCCGCCGAAUUUAAGCAUAUUAUUAAGCGGAGGAAAAGAAAAUAACAAUGAUUCCCCUAGUAACGGCGAGUGAAGCGGGAAGAGCUCAAAGUUAAAAUCGGUGUACCGAGAGGUGCUCCGAAUUGUAAUCUAGAGACACUUUUUCAGCUCUGACCCGGGUAUAAAUCUUUUGAAACAAGGUGUCAUAGAGGGUGAGAAUCCCGUCUUUGACCCGGAGUUCGGGGCGUACGAA
rnacentral:rRNA from 1 species